rnacentral:rRNA from 1 species
AACGAACGCUGGCGGCAUGCCUAACACAUGCAAGUCGAACGAGACCUUUGGGUCUAGUGGCGCACGGGUGCGUAACGCGUGGGAAUCUGCCCUUGGGUUCGGAAUAACAGUGAGAAAUUGCUGCUAAUACCGGAUGAUGUCUUCGGACCAAAGAUUUAUCGCCCAGGGAUGAGCCCGCGUAGGAUUAGCUAGUUGGUGGGGUAAUGGCCUACCAAGGCGACGAUCCUUAGCUGGUCUGAGAGGAUGAUCAGCCACACUGGGACUGAGACACGGCCCAGACGGAGAAGGGGGCAUGAAGAGGAAAAUAUAGACAAAUGGGGAAGAGCUGGAGACGGCACUGCGGCGUAGGGAGUGAAGACGUGUGGUUUUAAAAGUCAUGUGACCAGGGAUAAUAAAGAAAGAGCGGGGAAAAAAAGCCCCGGCUAACUCCGGAGCAGGGGCGGCAGUAAAAGAUGAAGAAAGCCAGCAUCAAAUC